AUGGUAAUAGAACACAUACUUUUGGUUAUAUCUUGCAUUGCAACCCAAGACAUUUUGGAAAUCAGCAUUUUGUCACCUCUUCUGGUGUCUCAGUCAGGAAUACCCAGUGCCAGAUCAUGUACCUGGCCAAGAGCUGAAGGAUUUUGGGAACUUUCAAGGAGAGAGGUUUACAUCACUGGGGUUGUCAUCUAUAGGCUGGGGGCUUUUCCAGGCACAGUACUCAGCUCCUCUUCUAGAGCUGGAAGCUGGUCUGCUUCUCCCUGGCUUUCUCUGAGUGGCUGUUCCAUGCUGCCUGGCUUCUGUGAGUGCUUGCUGGUUGUCUGCCUCAUCUGUGCUUUAGCCUUACUGCUGGAAUGGAGCUCUUUAAGGGCUGUGUCAGCCCACUAACACCUUUGGUGUGGAUGCAGCAUCCUCGUUCUUCGCUUGGAACUGGUAGAAGCCAUCACAUUAGUACCACUGUAAGUUCUGGUUCAGGAUAUUUCUGUAAGAUAGCGAAUCCUACGGGUUUGAACUCAUUCCCAAGCAGGCAUGAGACAGAUUAUGUGCUGCCUGCUUAAAUGCUGCAUGCCUGUUGUCUCAGGCAAUUUUGCACCUUCCCUGAAUUCCCAACUACUGGAAUUAAGAGGUUCUUAGCCUCAUUUUUUUCCUCCCUAUAAGGGGAACAAAAAAACUUUGGAUCUUUUCACCAGUACUGGAGGAGUAGCAUCCUGUGAGGUCCUGUAUAGAUAUCAGCUGGUGUUGGGGAGCUGUUGCCAGCAACUGAAAAAGGAGAAGAAAAAACACAUUUAAGAGCAUUAUUUUUUAAAAAAAGCAUCACCCUGCAACUCUUGAUUAGCACUCUGUAUUUUGAGGCCCAGAUUUGAUCAUACUGCAACCAUCUCAUCCUGAAAAUAUUGGCUGAGCAAAAUCCCAGCCAAAAGAAAAUACAUUGCAUUGCUUUGCACAAUUCCCUGCCCAGGUUGGGAGUGAGCCCUGAAUGCACAAGUGGAUGGGGCAUGCUUGCUUUGCAGAGGACAUGUGGUGCAGGAGGCUGGAGACUCUCACAGCCUCUGCAAGUUUAGGAAAAUUGGCUUUUCCUAGAUGUCUUUCAGAGAGGUGCUGAGAAGUGUUAGUGCUGGAUCAGGUAUCGCUGUCCCUGCCCGUGGUGCAGCACGGGUGUUCGUGCGGUGUUGUGUGUGCUCAUUUAUGUGGUGGGAACAGCAGUCCUGGGCUCCUGGCUGAGCCUGGGGGAUGUGGAGCAAUCACAAAAGCCCAGACUGUGCUUGAACCCUUGACAUCUUCCUGAUUGGAUAAAGCAUUAGUCCCUGUUUGCUAAUAUUGGUGUUUGGUAUUACUAUGAUUAUCCUCAUCAGUGUAACUAUCAUUAUUAUUUUAUAAGCUGUGUUGU
rnacentral:lncRNA from 1 species